GCUGAGUAUUGGGAUCCCAGAGGGGUUUUGGGAUGGGUGUCAGGGCUCUGGAAUGCCUUUGGGAUGGGUGUUGGGGUCCUUGGGGGGGUUUUGGGAUGUGUGUCAGGGUGCCCCAGGGGUNGCCCCAGGGACUCUGAGAUGGGCAUUGGCGCCUUUGAGGAGUUUUGGGAUGGGUGUUGGGGUUUUGAAGGGUUUUGGGAUGGAUAUUGUGGUUCUGGGAGGACUUUGGGGUGAGUGUUGGGGUCCUUGGGGGGGCUUUGGGAUGUGUGUCAGGGUGCCCCAGGAGUGUCCCAGGAUGGUGACCCCGUUCCUGACCCCACUGCAGCGUUCUGGAUCGCUCACUGCCCUGUCAAAGCCGUGUUUGGGGGUGUUUGGGGUCCCAGGAUGGUGACCCCAUUCCUGACCCCAUUCCUGACCCCGUUCCUGACCCCGUUCCCCACCCCACUGCAGCGUUCUGGAUCGCUCACCGCGCUGUCAAAGCCGUGUUUGACUCCAUGGACAACCUGCAGCCGGCGCCCCACGACGUGGGGUUUGUCCAGCAGGCCAUGUUCGACUACUUCCAGGUGUGCUGGGAUUUGGGGUUUGGGGUUUGGGGUGGGUAUCAGGGUCCUGGAGGGGUUUGGGGUGGGUAUCAGGGUCCUGGAAGGGUUUGGGAUGGGUACUGGGGUUCUGGAGGGGUCUGAGAUGGGUAUCAAGGUGCUGGGAGAGCUUUGGGAUGAGUAUCGGGGUGCUUGGGGAUUUGGGGAUGGGUAUUGGGGUCUUUGAGAGGCUUUGGGAUGGGUAUUGGGGUCCUGGAAGGGCUUUGGGAUGGGUGUUGGGGUGCUUGAGGACUUUUGGGAUGGGCAUUGGGGUGCUUGGGAGGGGUGGUUUGGGAUAGGUUUUGGGGUGGGUUUUGGGGUCUUUGAGGGGCUUUGGGUCGGGUGUUGGGGUCCUUGGGAGGGUUGGGAUGGGUGUUGGGGUUCUGGAAGGGUUUUGGGAUGGCUGUUGGGGCUCAGGAUCUGGGAUCACUCCUCUGGAACAUUGGGGUGCCCUGAGGGGUCCCCAGCCCUCAGGCAGGGCCCCUGCCCCGACCCCACAGAUCUCGGACAGGAUGGGGCUCCUGACCCACCUGUACCGCACCUUCGAGAAGGCCAAGUUCGCGGGGUUCUGCCGGAGGGUGGCCGAGGGUGCCCAGCUCGGUGACCCCCUGUGCUGCCACAUCUUCACCGAAGCCGGCGAGUUCCUGGCUCGCCACGUGGUGGCCGUGCUGCCCAAAAUCCACCAGAGCCUGUUCCUGGGCGAGCUGGGGCUGCCCAUCCUCUGCGUGGGCUCGGUGUGGAACAGCUGGGAGCGCCUGC
rnacentral:lncRNA from 12 species